rnacentral:rRNA from 1 species
GUGAGGAAUAUUGGGCAAUGGGCGGAAGCCUGACCCAGCAACGCCGCGUGGAGGAAUGAAGGCCUUCGGGUUGUAAACUCCUUUUGCAGGGGAAGAGGAAGGACGGUACCCUGCGAAUAAGUCACGGCUAACUACGUGCCAGCAGCCGCGGUAAUACGUAGGUGACGAGCGUUAUCCGGAAUUACUGGGCGUAAAGCGCACGCAGGCGGCUGAAUAAGUCUGACGUGAAAUCUCUCGGCUUAACCGGGAGGGGUCGUUGGAGACUGUUUGGCUUGAGGCGAUGAGAGGGGUGUAGAAUUCCCGGUGUAGUGGUGGAAUGCGUAGAUAUCGGGAGGAAUACCAGUGGCGAAAGCGGCACCCUGGCAUUAGCCUGACGCUCAUGUGCGAAAGCGUGGGGAGCAAACGGGAUUAGAAACCCUAGUAGUCC